CUGGCGGCGUGGCCUAACACAUGCAAGUCGCACGAGAAACAUGUCCCUUCGGGGCAUGGAGUAAAGUGGCGCACGGGUGAGUAACACCGUGGGUAACCUGCCCUUAGGGACUGGGAUAACUGGCCGAAAGGCCCGCUAAUACCGGAUAAGACCACAAGAGCUUUGGCUCAAGGGGUCAAAGUCGGCCUCUCGAUGAAGCCGGCACCUGAGGAUGGGCCCGCGGACCAUUAGCUAGUUGGUGAGGUAACGGCUCACCAAGGCUGAGAUGGUUAGCUGGUCUGAGAGGAUGAUCAGCCACACUGGAACUGAGAUACGGUCCAGACUCCUACGGGAGGCAGCAGUGAGGAAUAUUGCGCAAUGGAGGAAACUCUGACGCAGCAACGCCGCGUGGGUGAAGAAGGCUUUCGGGUUGUAAAGCCCUGUCAGGCGGGAAGAAACCUUCACAGGUGAAUAGUCUGUGGAACUGACGGUACCGCCAAAGGAAGCACCGGCUAACUCCGUGCCAGCAGCCGCGGUAA
rnacentral:rRNA from 1 species